GUUGCAAACCGUAGUCUGGCUUUUUUAUGGAGGUUUUGGAGCAGUGGCUUCUUCCUUGCUGAGCGGCCUUUCAGGCUAUGUCGAUAUAGGACUAGUUUUACUGUGGAUAUAGAUACUUCUGUACCUGUUUCCACCAGCAUCUUCACAAGGUCUUUUGCUGUUGUUCUGGGAUUGAUAUGCACUUUUCGCACCAAAGUAUGUUCAUCUCUAGGAGACAGAACGCGUCACCUUCCUGAGCGGUAUGAUGGCUGCGUGGUCCCAUGGUGUUUAUACUUGCGUACUAUUGUUUGUACAGAUGAACGUGGUACCUUCAGUCGUUUGGAAAUUGCUCCCAAGGAUGAACCAGAUUGUGGAGGUCUACAACAUUUUUUCGGAGGUCUUGGCUAAUUUCUUUUGAUUUUCCCAUGAUGUCAAGCAAAGAGGCACUGAGUUUGAAGGCAAGAGGGGAGAACGAUGACAUCACAAAUUCCCAUCAAACCAACUCCUUGAAGUGUGCAGUUGUGUCUAAAAAAAGAAAAUGUACUUUACUCUGUUUAUACUUGGGAUGUCGCUUUCCAACAUUAAACGUAAAAACAACGCUGGAGGAUGUCUUUAACACAAAGGCAUUGUUUGUAAUUGAUGUCUUAGUGUUGAAGUGUGCCCAUGGCUAUCCCGUCAAUAAAUAAAAAACAAGGAAAUCA
rnacentral:lncRNA from 1 species